AGUGAACGCUGGCGGUAGGCCUAACACAUGCAAGUCGAACGGCAGCACAGUAAGAGCUUGCUCUUACGGGUGGCGAGUGGCGGACGGGUGAGGAAUACAUCGGAAUCUACUUUUUCGUGGGGGAUAACGUAGGUAAACUUACGCUAAUACCGCAUACGACCUACGGGUGAAAGCAGGGGAUCUUCGGACCUUGCGCGAUUGAAUGAGCCGAUGUCGGAUUAGCUAGUUGGCGGGGUAAAGGCCCACCAAGGCGACGAUCCGUAGCUGGUCUGAGAGGAUGAUCAGCCACACUGGAACUGAGACACGGUCCAGACUCCUACGGGAGGCAGCAGUGGGGAAUAUUGGACAAUGGGCGCAAGCCUGAUCCAGCCAUACCGCGUGGGUGAAGAAGGCCUUCGGGUUGUAAAGCCCUUUUGUUGGGAAAGAAAAGCAGCAGGUUAAUACCCCGCUGUUCUGACGGUACCCAAAGAAUAAGCACCGGCUAACUUCGUG
rnacentral:rRNA from 1 species